AGAGUUUGAUCCUGGCUCAGAACGAACGCUGGCGGCAGGCUUAACACAUGCAAGUCGAACGCGUGUAGCAAUACACGAGUGGCGCACGGGUGAGUAACGCGUGGAUAUCUGCCUUUUGGUUCGGAAUAACCCCGGGAAACUGGGGCUAAUACCGGAUGGUUCCUUCGGGAUAAAGAUUUAUCGCCAAAAGAUGAGUCCGCGUCCGAUUAGCUAGUUGGUGAGGUAAUGGCUCACCAAGGCGACGAUCGGUAGCUGGUCUGAGAGGACGAUCAGCCACACUGGGACUGAGACACGGCCCAGACUCCUACGGGAGGCAGCAGUGGGGAAUAUUGGACAAUGGGGGCAACCCUGAUCCAGCCAUGCCGCGUGAGUGAUGAAGGCCUUCGGGUUGUAAAGCUCUUUUGGCGGGGACGAUGAUGACGGUACCCGCAGAAUAAGCCCCGGCUAACUUCGUGCCAGCAGCCGCGGUAAGACGAAGGGGGCUAGCGUUGUUCGGAAUUACUGGGCGUAAAGCGCGUGUAGGCGGUUGUCCAAGUCGGGUGUGAAAGCCUUGAGCUCAACUCAAGAAAUGCACUCGGUACUGGGCGACUAGAGGACCGGAGAGGAUAGUGGAAUUCCCAGUGUAGUGGUGAAAUACGUAGAGAUUGGGAAGAACACCAGUGGCGAAGGCGGCUAUCUGGACGGUUUCUGACGCUAAGACGCGAAAGCGUGGGGAGCAAACAGGAUUAGAUACCCUAGUAGUCC
rnacentral:rRNA from 1 species